UGGGGAAUAUUGGACAAUGGGUGAGAGCCUGAUCCAGCCAUGCCGCGUGCAGGAAGAAGGCGUUAUGCGUUGUAAACUGCUUUUUGCCAGGGGAUAAAAUGACCGUGCGCGGUUAAUUGAAGGUACCUGGUGAAUAAGCCACGGCUAACUACGUGCCAGCAGCCGCGGUAAUACGUAGGUGGCAAGCGUUGUUCGGAUUUACUGGGCGUAAAGGGCGCGUAGGCGGCAAUUCAAGUCAUCUGUGAAAUCUCCGGGCUUAACUCGGAACGGUCAGAUGAUACUGCUUUGCUAGAGUGCAGAAGGGGCAAUCGGAAUUCUUGGUGUAGCGGUGAAAUGCGUAGAUAUCAAGAGGAACACCUGAGGUGAAGACGGGUUGCUGGGCUGACACUGACGCUGAGGCGCGAAAGCUAGGGUAGCAAACGGGAUUAGAUACCCAGGUAGUCCCUGAGCGGGCUGGCAAGGCGCAU
rnacentral:rRNA from 1 species